UAAUACCAAUAAACAGAUCAAUGAGACAAAAGCUCAACAGAGAAGCUACAGAGCUCACACAAACAAUAGAACAAUUGGACUUGGUAGACAUCUAUAGAA